CCCAAAUAAAAAUUCACCGUAAUUAAAUUCUUAAUAGACAUGUUUUUGCCGAUUUACUUCGAUAAAAACUUUCCCCGGAAAAUGCGGGUUUUCCAACAAAAUCUUUUGAAAUCCAAAAAAAAUAAAUCCUAUUCCUAUGACACUGUGGACAGCAGAAAAAGUUAUUUCACGCAUUAAUUUCAAAAUAUGCAAUAUUUUUGUCCGUGAGAUAUAGUAUUCAUUACUAUAGAAUAUCAUAUUAUUAGUAAACUUCCCUUUUCACUGUUAGGUUAUACAUAAUUAUAUUUUAGAGUAGUAGUAGUCCAUAAACAUACAAAACCAUACUAGAUCAAAUUUUUAAAACUUCAUAUCUUAGUUAAAAUGCACUACCAAUGAAACAACUGUUUCUCCUAAUGGUUAACUAAUAAUUAAUAACUGUUAUCUAAUGGUUGUUUAAAAGAUGAAACUUACAGCCUUAAAAGUCUUGAAUUUCACACUAAACUUUGACCAAUGUUUAUCACUUUUUUGCAAUAUUGUCACUCGGCCAAACCUAAUGCAAUACCAUGACAAUUAGUUCAAAAUAAAAAA
rnacentral:lncRNA from 1 species